UGACUCUAAAAAUAACCAGCACAUAAGGGAGAGGUCAGACAGAGGGGAAAGCCAGGCAUGGUCCUUUGGCAUCUGUGUUAACCUACUCUGCACACCCGCAUGUGUAAAAUGCUCUGAGAGAGACAGAGAGGGCACAGCUUGAAGAACAGACAGGCAUUACUUACAUGGAAGUGAUGGUUCAGAGAACAGACCUGAAAUUGCAGACACUUUUACAACCUAACUCCAGGAAACAGGACUAGACUCCAUCCAGUUCCAACAAAGGCCAAUUCCACAGCUGUGACCCAAGCAUGCCCAGUGAAAAGCAUCACAUUUAGAAACGGCCCUGCUCUGUCCUGAGUUUCCAAGCAUUUUUAUGGCCCGGGACUGGCAAGGGGUUUCUUUGCCUUGAAGUCUAGGCAAAGAUGCUCUUCAAAGCAAUGAAGAGCUAUUGCCUCCAAGAAGCAGUUAGAAAAUGUAAAAAAAGAGAAGAAUUAUCCCAAUGACAUGGUAGACACUGGAAAAGUGAAGAACGAAUCUCUAUAGGGUCCAGAUGUUAUUUCUCCACAAGUAAAAAAUAAAUAACGUAACCUUUCUGUCUCUGGACCAAAGGCAUCUGAUAGAGAUGCUCUGCAUUUAUUGCAAAAUACCCCACAGGAUAUUUGAAAGCUCUGAUUUAAUCUUUAAUUUCUCCCCAACAAGGUGAGUGCCUGAACUGAAGCAGUGCAAUAAGACAGAAGUUUCACCUCUGCAACUAGGAGUUGUUCUAAGUCCAUAAAUAUUCACCUGCCCUCUGGAGGUUCUGGAAGGGGGAAGGGUCAAAGUUUCAAUUGCCUCCUUGGUACCUGACCCCACUUAUCUUGCAGUUGAACACCUCCGAGGAUAAAGUCUUGAGACCCAAUGAGGACAAAAAAAUCCUGUCCGCACUGUGCAUUGUGCAAAACAUGAGAUUGGGAACUCAGUGA
rnacentral:lncRNA from 1 species